CGAGUAGAAAGGAUCAGAUUCUUUGCAAACUGCUCAGUAACACGUGGACAAUCUGCCCUAUGCUCUGGAAUAACCUCGGGAAACUGAGAAUAAUACCGGAUAGAUCACAACGCCUGGAACGGUGUGUGGUUGAAAGAUUACGGCAUAGGAUGGGUCUGCGGCGUAUCAGGUUGUAGGGGGUGUAACGGAUCUCCUAGCCAUCGACGCGUACGGGUGUUGGGAGACAUAGCCCGGAGAUGGAUUCUGAGACACGAAUCCAGACCCUACGGGGUGCAGCAGGCGCGAAAACUUCACACUGCAGGAAACUGUGAUGAGGGAACUCCAAGUGCGUGCACUUAGUGUGCGCUUUUCUUGACUACUAAUCGGUCAUGGAAUAAGGGCUGGGAAAGACCGGUGCCAGCCGCCGCGGUAAUACCGGCAGCUCAAGUGGUCGUCGCUUUUAUUGGGCCUAAAACGUCCGUAGCCUGUUUGGUAAAUCUGUGGGUAAAUCAACCAGCUUAACUGGUUGAAUUCUGCAGAGACUGCCAGACUAGGGACCGGGAGAGGUGUGGGGUACUCUAGGGGUAGGGGUAAAAUCCUGUCAUCCUUAGAGGACCACCAGUUGCGAAGGCGCCACACUGGAACGGAUUCGACGGUCAGGGACGAAGCCUAGGGGCACGAACCGGAUUAGAUACCCGGGUAGUCCUAGGUGUAAACGCUGUGAACUUGGUGUCGGGGAUCUGUCAUGGGUCCCCGGUGCCGGAGUGAAGAUGUUAAGUUCACUGCCUGGGGAGUACGGUC
rnacentral:rRNA from 1 species